rnacentral:rRNA from 1 species
AGAUUGAACGCUGGCGGCAUGCUUUACACAUGCAAGUCGAACGGCAGCACGGGGGCAACCCUGGUGGCGAGUGGCGAACGGGUGAGUAAUACAUCGGAACGUGCCCAGUCGUGGGGGAUAACUACGCGAAAGCGUAGCUAAUACCGCAUACGAUCUACGGAUGAAAGCGGGGGAUCGCAAGACCUCGCGCGAUUGGAGCGGCCGAUGGCAGAUUAGGUAGUUGGUGGGGUAAAGGCUCACCAAGCCUGCGAUCUGUAGCUGGUCUGAGAGGACGACCAGCCACACUGGGACUGAGACACGGCCCAGACUCCUACGGGAGGCAGCAGUGGGGAAUUUUGGACAAUGGGCGCAAGCCUGAUCCAGCCAUUCCGCGUGCAGGAUGAAGGCCCUCGGGUUGUAAACUGCUUUUGUACGGAAUGAAAAGGCUCUCUCUAAUACGGGGGGCUCAUGACGGUACCGUAAGAAUAAGCACCGGCUAACUACGUGCCAGCAGCCGCGGUAAUACGUAGGGUGCAAGCGUUAAUCGGAAUUACUGGGCGUAAAGCGUGCGCAGGCGGUGAUGUAAGACAGUUGUGAAAUCCCCGGGCUCAACCUGGGAACUGCAUCUGUGACUGCAUCGCUGGAGUGCGGCAGAGGGGGAUGGAAUUCCGCGUGUAGCAGUGAAAUGCGUAGAUAUGCGGAGGAACACCGAUGGCGAAGGCAAUCCCCUGGGCCUGCACUGACGCUCAUGCACGAAAGCGUGGGGAGCAAACAGGAUUAGAUACCCUGGUAGUCUACGCCCUAAACGAUGUCAACUGGUUGUUGGGUCUUCACUGACUCAGUAACGAAGCUAACGCGUGAAGUUGACCGCCUGGGGAGUACGGCCGCAAGGUUGAA